GGGUUGUGAGGUUAAGCGACUAAGCGUACACGGUGGAUGCCCUGGCAGUCAGAGGCGAUGAAGGACGUGCUAAUCUGCGAAAAGCGUCGGUAAGGUGAUAUGAACCGUUAUAACCGGCGAUGUCCGAAUGGGGAAACCCAGUGCAAUUCGUUGCACUAUCGUUAACUGAAUACAUAGGUUAACGAGGCGAACCGGGGGAACUGAAACAUCUAAGUACCCCGAGGAAAAGAAAUCAACCGAGAUUCCCCCAGUAGCGGCGAGCGAACGGGGAGCAGCCCAGAGUCUGAAUCAGCUUGUGUGUUAGUGGAACGGUCUGGAAAGUCCGACGGUACAGGGUGAUAGUCCCGUACACCAAAAUGCACAGGCUGUGAACUCGAAGAGUAGGGCGGGACACGUGGUAUCCUGUCUGAAUAUGGGGGGACCAUCCUCCAAGGCUAAAUACUCCUGACUGACCGAUAGUGAACCAGUACCGUGAGGGAAAGGCGAAAAGAACCCCGGCGAGGGGAGUGAAAAAGAACCUGAAACCGUGUACGUACAAGCAGUGGGAGCACCUUCGGGUGUGACUGCGUACCUUUUGUAUAAUGGGUCAGCGACUUAUAUUCUGUAGCAAGGUUAACCAUAUAGGGAGCCGCAGGAAACCGAGUCUUAACUGGGCGUUAAGUUGCAGGGUAUAGACCCGAAACCCGGUGAUCUAGCCAUGGGCAGGUUGAAGGUUGGGUAACACUAACUGGAGGACCGAACCGACUAAUGUUGAAAAAUUAGCGGAUGACUUGUGGCUGGGGGUGAAAGGCCAAUCAAACCGGGAGAUAGCUGGUUCUCCCCGAAAGCUAUUUAGGUAGCGCCUCGUGAAUUCAUCUUCGGGGGUAGAGCACUGUUUCGGCUAGGGGGUCAUCCCGACUUACCAACCCGAUGCAAACUACGAAUACCGAAGAAUGUUAUCACGGAGACACACGGCGGGUGCUAACGUCCGUCGUGAAGAGGGAAACAACCCAGACCGCCAGCUAAGGUCCCAAAGUCAUGGUUAAGUGGGAAACGAUGUGGGAAGGCACAGACAGCCAGGAUGUUGGCUUAGAAGCAGCCAUCAUUUAAAGAAAGCGUAAUAGCUCACUGGUCGAGUCGGCCUGCGCGGAAGAUGUAACGGGGCUAAACCAUGCACCGAAGCUGCGGCAGCGACACUAUGUGUUGUUGGGUAGGGGAGCGUUCUGUAAGCCUGCGAAGGUGACCUGUGAGGGUUGCUGGAGGUAUCAGAAGUGCGAAUGCUGACAUAAGUAACGAUAAAGCGGGUGAAAAGCCCGCUCGCCGGAAGACCAAGGGUUCCUGUCCAACGUUAAUCGGGGCAGGGUGAGUCGACCCCUAAGGCGAGGCCGAAAGGCGUAGUCGAUGGGAAACAGGUUAAUAUUCCUGUACUUGGUGUUACUGCGAAGGGGGGACGGAGAAGGCUAUGUUAGCCGGGCGACGGUUGUCCCGGUUUAAGCAUGUAGGCUGGUUAUCGCAAAUCCGGAUAAUCAAGGCUGAGGUGUGAUGACGAGGCACUACGGUGCUGAAGUAACAAAUGCCCUGCUUCGGAAAAGCCUCUAAGCAUCAGGUAACAUCAAAUCGUACCCCAAACCGACACAGGUGGUCAGGUAGAGAAUACCAAGGCGCUUGAGAGAACUCGGGUGAAGGAACUAGGCAAAAUGGUGCCGUAACUUCGGGAGAAGGCACGCUGGUGUGUAGGUGAAGCCCUGCGGUGGAGCUGAGACCAGUCGAAGAUACCAGCUGGCUGCAACUGUUUAUUAAAAACACAGCACUGUGCAAACACGAAAGUGGACGUAUACGGUGUGACGCCUGCCCGGUGCCGGAAGGUUAAUUGAUGGGGUUAUCCGUAAGGAGAAGCUCUUGAUCGAAGCCCCGGUAAACGGCGGCCGUAACUAUAACGGUCCUAAGGUAGCGAAAUUCCUUGUCGGGUAAGUUCCGACCUGCACGAAUGGCGUAAUGAUGGCGGCUGUCUCCACCGAGACUCAGUGAAAUUGAACUCGCUGUGAAGAUGCAGUGUACCCGCGGCAAGACGGAAAGACCCGUGAACCUUUACUAUAGCUUGACACUGAACAUUGAGCCUUGAUGUGUAGGAUAGGUGGGAGGCUUUGAAGCGUGGACGCCAGUCUGCGUGGAGCCAACCUUGAAAUACCACCCUUUAAUGUUUGAUGUUCUAACGUUGGCCCCUGACCGGGGUUGCGGACAGUGUCUGGUGGGUAGUUUGACUGGGGCGGUCUCCUCCCAAAGCGUAACGGAGGAGCACGAAGGUUAGCUAAUCCUGGUCGGACAUCAGGAGGUUAGUGCAAUGGCAUAAGCUAGCUUGACUGCGAGCGUGACGGCGCGAGCAGGUGCGAAAGCAGGUCAUAGUGAUCCGGUGGUUCUGAAUGGAAGGGCCAUCGCUCAACGGAUAAAAGGUACUCCGGGGAUAACAGGCUGAUACCGCCCAAGAGUUCAUAUCGACGGCGGUGUUUGGCACCUCGAUGUCGGCUCAUCACAUCCUGGGGCUGAAGUAGGUCCCAAGGGUAUGGCUGUUCGCCAUUUAAAGUGGUACGCGAGCUGGGUUUAGAACGUCGUGAGACAGUUCGGUCCCUAUCUGCCGUGGGCGCUGGAGAAUUGAGGGGGGCUGCUCCUAGUACGAGAGGACCGGAGUGGACGCAUCACUGGUGUUCGGGUUGUCAUGCCAAUGGCACUGCCCGGUAGCUAAAUGCGGAAGAGAUAAGUGCUGAAAGCAUCUAAGCACGAAACUUGCCCCGAGAUGAGUUCUCCCUGAGACUUUAAGUCUCCUGAAGGAACGUUGAAGACGACGACGUUGAUAGGCCGGGUGUGUAAGCGCAGCGAUGCGUUGAGCUAACCGGUACUAAUGAACCGUGAGGCUUAACCUUACAACGCCGAAG
rnacentral:rRNA from 1 species